ACCAGAGCAAAUAAGAGUGGCUAAUGAAUAAUGUAUUCAGCUUAAUGCAUCGAAAUUAAUCCUUAGUUAUUUUAAUUAACCCCAGCAGUUUUCUCCCAUAGCUCAACUUGUUUUAUUGAAUGUCUUUUCUGCUAAAAAUGGCAUUAAUAAUAAUAAUUAAAUAAUCAUAUAAAGGAAGGCACUACAUAUAUAUAUUCCUAUGUAGGAUUACUCAACUAUUUUUAUUGUCCCAGUACUUCUUCUCCCAUAACUCCACUUGUUUUACUGUAUUUUCUUUUCUCCUAAAAAUGGCGUGAAGAGAUGGAGGAUCAUAGGGAGGAGGCAUGGUGCAUGGACUUGUCUCUGCAGGACUCUUCACCAUGGAUUCCAUAGUGAACUCCUUCUCCAGUCCACUCAAUCGGCAAGCCAUGGAUUCUGAACACAGUUCAAUAGCUUUUCGAGGUAUAACGGGCUUGAACGUCAACAGAUUAGCAUACUGGUUUAAGAGAUGAAACAUGUAGUCGUACACAUACUCCAUAUUCAAUUCCUUCUGAAUGAAUUCACUUGCUGCCUUUCCAAUGGCCUGUGCCUUCUGCUUGUGGCUGUUACCCCACUCUACAGCAAACUUAAUGGACCUGCACUUGUCAUUAUCCUUUAUAGGCCAGUAGUGGUCAAUUGGCCUCAGACUUCUCGUGAAGAAGUCAUAGUAAUGGGGUUUUACAAGUAAGGUAACAGAAUCACAGGCAAGAAUGUAUUUUUCGCUGACUGACCAUGCAGAACCUUCAAUAUAGAUCUUAUACCUUCGCCAUUGCGUUUAGAAAGCAACAACAAAAAUAGUGAGAAGAUAAUUAAAGAGAGCAUUAAUUAGAAAACACAAAAGCAGAACAUGAACAAAAUAAAUUCAAUUGCUCACACAUAUUAGAUUAGAAAAAAGUGCAAAAAUUAUAACUUGUUUCUACCUGUGAAUGCAUUGGCUUUCCAAGUUUGAUUGUUUGUACCCUUGCUGUGAUUCUCGAAGCCAGUCCUGCGAAAGAUUUGGGGCAUCACAACGACUGCUAGACUUGGUUCCUUACAUAUAUUUCCUCUCCUCUUAUAGAAAAGGUGAUGAACAACAAUGUUGCUAAGAAAAUAAUGCUCAAAAAUUAAGCUUUCAUACUAGAAGACGCAGGCUAAACUGAAUGAAGAUAAAAACAAGGAUGGGGAAAGUCGAUUAUUUACCUGACCAUAGACACGAGCAUUCCAGUCUUGUUGUUCUGAGACAUUGCAUUUCAUAAGGUCCUGUCUGGUUUCAGCAACAGCUGGAUUUCCUUUCCAGUAAGCAUAAGGUUCCCUGUCCAUCCAUCUGGUCUUCUUGUUGCCUUCUUUUAAAUCAUUCAGCAAAUUCUCCCAUGGCUUUAUGUUGAUCUCAGGCCAUCCCCAAAAGGACCAAUCCGGGAACACGAUAUCAAGUGAGUCAUCAUCCCCACAGUACCGAAACAAAGGCGGUGGGCCCGUUGCACUGGGCCCACUAUACUCGCUUGAUUUCACAACCGGCCAGUCAACACAAUCAAACAUCAGCUCCAAGUCCGGCACUUUUCCUGGGUAUCUCCGUAACAACUGUAGGAUUCCCCACAGCGUAAAAACAUCUCUGGUCUGAAACGACUUCCGAUACGUUUCCAAAUAGGCUUUGCCAUGCACAAUCACCAACCUAAAAUUCGCCGUCCUUUUAGCUCUCUCGACCAUUUCUCUCGUGAUCCCCGUGCGAGCCCACGGACGUAAGUCUUCGUAUAUCCAACGGAAGUACUCUGGACAAGUUGAAACAGAUGGACGGUAUGGAUUUUCUGAAAUAUUCGUGGGGUAAUUUGCCGGACAGGUUCCUGUGAGGUUGAAAAAAUCGCAGUCGAGUGGGAUCUCGAUUUUGUUUAUUGGCUUUUCGGGAAUUUGGGUAGUUGUUGUUUCACUAGUUAACAACGGCUCUUGAGCCGAGCCGCUAGAAACAGCAGUGGUGUUAAGGAGGCGCGUGGAGAAAAACGCGCAGACGACGAGGAAGAAGAUGAAGAUGACGACUGAGAAUCUUGCAGGUAACUUGAUGGAAGGCCAGAUCGUCUCUUUCAAAUGACAAUAAAUCCCCGAUCCAUAUUGCAAGUAUCUCUGCACCCUCUGUUGCGCCCUGCUAUUUUCUCUCAUUUCUCUCUCUAAAUCCUGUUAACAACUCUCUGACAAUUGCAUACUCGGAUGAUUUCCGGUAUUUGAGUUGUGGCUGGUACGUACGGAGAUCUUUAAUGCAUAACUAAACCACGAUCAUUUCUAAAAGCCCUUAUAAAGAGUUUCUGAAUUGGGAAGUACGUACUUUCUCCUGACUGACCACCAACUUUAAUAAGCAGAUGGAUCGAGAUCCAAAAGACACUAUAAGAUACAAACACAGUGGUAUUUUGCUUUGCUAAUUGCUAUUGAAGUUGGGUCAGGCAUAGCUUAAAGACAGACAAACGAUGAUUAAAAGGAAAAGAAAGAAAGAGAUGGACCUUAUUAUUCCCAGCUAGCAAGCAAAAUUGACUAAGAUAGAAAGUAUGGAAGAAAAGAAGAAAUUGAAGAUGGUACUCGGAAAGAUAGAGAGAAGCAAAUAAAGAAAGAGAGAGAGAG
rnacentral:misc_RNA from 1 species